rnacentral:misc_RNA from 1 species
GGUGGUGGUGGUGGCGGUGGCGGUAGUAGUCGUGGCAGUGGAGGAGGUAGCGUUGGUCGGGGUGCUAAAGGUGGUGGUAGUGGUGGUAGCAGUGGAGGUGUAGGUACUGGCACUCAAGGUAGAGGUGUUGUAGUUGGUGGUGGUGUUAUCGUAGGAACUGCUGGCGGUGCUUUGGCUACAAGUGGUGGUACGAGAGGCAACGGAGGUCAUCAUAACACAACCUCUGCGUCCGUCACAUGGGGAGCGGCUUCCAAGUAUGGAUUCAUUGAACGGCUAUCUUUAAUACCAGUAAUUUUCUUGCUGGUCUAAAUAAUGGUGGCAAAUAGGCUUGGCACACAUGAAUCUAUUGUGCUGGAUAUUUGCUUCUUUUUCUUAUGUAAAUUAAAGAAAAGAAUAUAUAUA